UUGAGGUCUGUGUUUUUAGGUUUAACCCCACAGUUUCUGAAUGAACUGAUAGUUGUUUUUUUUUUCCUGAUCAAUGUGGACGUUAUAAUUGAUGGUAACAUUUACUGAUCAUAUAAUCAGCAUGACAAUAUAACAGUAUAACAUUCUGACCACCUGACUAAUACUGUGUUGGUCCCUUUAUGCUGCUAAAACUCCUCUGACCCAGUGGUUCAUCAGAACCUCUGGGGAUGUCCUGUGGAUUCUGUGGCUCCUGUGGGUUGCAGGGUGGGUCCUACCUAGACCAGGCUGAUCCUGGACCAUCCCACAGAUGCUCAAUCAGAUCUGGAUGGGGGGAGUGUGGAACCCAGAUGUUCAGAGGGAGAUGAUGCCACAUCUGGUCCAGCUGAUGGAAGGUCUUGAAGUUCUCUGACUGGCCUCGACUGAAGAUGGUCGUCUCACUGGAUUUAAGGUUCAGAUGCUCAGUAACAAACUCCACCAAUGUGCUAACAGGGAAGCUUUAGGUUUAUUAAAUGUUGCUAUGAAGGUUUCGCUGUUUUUCUUUGUGAAUGCAAUGUGCUCCAACUGAAACUUGAAUUAGAACUUAGAAGUAAAUCCUUCCAUCUGUAAGGAUUUAGUUGCAUUAAUAACCUCAUGACAUUCUAAUUUUUAUUUCAGUCUUGGCUGGAAAUAGAAUCUCUGUAUUGAUUCAGGUAAAACCUGAACUUCACAGCAUGUUGGAGCAAAACAACCAGAUGAAAACUGUGAUGGUGUUGGAUUGUCAGACCGUAAUGUUGCAGCUCAAAGCAGCUUUUCUAUCUCAGUUCAUUCUGACAUUCAGCUAUGAAUCAACACAGCAGAUGGUGAUCCAUGCUGUGGAAGUCUCACAUCUCCUGAUUUAAUGGAGCUGCUUUACACUUUUUACACUGUUUAUUCACCAACACUUAAUUUAAUAAAAGUCCCAUCUAGUUUUUAUGAGGAAUGUGAUGUUUUAAUUUCUCUGAACAACUGCAGUCUAAUGCAACAGCUGGAGUUGUAACAUCUGUCCUGAUAUUGAUCAUGAAGUAUUGAUCAGAAUACUUAUGGUUAGCAGUCAUCCCUGAAGUUUUACAUUAAAAUCUUUACUUGUGUUGUGAACUUUGGUAAGAAGCAGAAACGUUAGCGUUGCCAUGGAUACAUGAGUGUUAAAUUCUGUCCAUGUUUCCAUUUUGGGAAAUGCAGUCCAGUUCCAGAAUGUGGAGGAAUUUAGUCUCACAAUCACAGACAACAAAUAUUAUCUGCAAGUCGGGUUAUUGUUGUUUAUCAGCACAAUACAAAAAGAUUAAUGUUAGAAAUAUUCCAGUUAAGACUCUAGAAUAUCAUGAUUUAUGUAAAUUGACCUCAAUAAUAUGAAUGUUCAGGUUAAGAUUGUACAGUGAUAUUUAUUAUGUAAGUUUAGCUGAUUAAAGUUUAUGACUCUACACUAAAAUAUUAUUUAAAUAGACAUCAUUAUUAUAAUAUUUAGGGUCAGACCCUACAGUAUUGAGAUGAAGAAAUCAAAUAUUCAAUAAAAUGUAAAUACACUGAACUCAUUUGGAUAUAUUUAAGUGAGACUAUACAAUAUUAUUUGACGCAAAUCUAUCUGAAAUCAAACUUUUUAAUAAUUUUCAUGCCGAACAUUUACUGGACUGAUUUAAACAUUAAAAUCACUCCUUUCUAAUCCUCUGCUGUAUGUUCAAACCUGAGGCCUUAAAUAGAAACACACAAGUAUCUGAUUGAAGGAACUUCUGCAGAGUCCUGGUUCCAGAACAUGAUGAUAGAAUUAUAGCCAAACUUGAACAAAAGCUGCCUGAGAGUUUACAGGUUUUUAUGUUAGAUUUCUUCAGUAAUUUAAUGAGAGUUAUCAGCAAAAAUCAAGUGUUCAUUUCAUGAACUUCAUUUCCUAAAACAUCCAGAAUUGGAGCUCAUAUCUUUGGCAGCUGUAAAGUUUCUGCUCCUUCAAAGUUCACAACACAAUGAAUGAAUUCCUAAAACACUCUCAAUGCUGGAGAGCGUUUGUGAUGCUGAAGCAGUGACCAGUUUUUCUGUUUCUUCUCUGGAGAUGCACAAUGAGGGACGUCUGCAGCGACUGAGAAAGAGUCUCACCACAUCCUUACAUGAGGAAAAAGACUUUAUUGAAGACUACAAUGAGAAAAACUGUCAGACAGCAGAUGGCUGCAUUCAAGGUGAGCUCUGAACAUUUGAUCUGGAACAGGAAUUCAAUAACGGCAGCAUGAGCUUCAUUUCAGUCUGUAGCUGCUGAAUUCAUGGAUGAAUCAUCUGGCACUAGAGAGGAAGACCAUCAAACAUCCACGUCAGCUGAUGGAGGUCCAAGAGUCUCACCGAACAAACAACCGACAGAGUGAAGACCUCGAAUCUGAUUGGACGGCCUCCUAAUCAGCCACAUGUGUGAACAAAUGACUCUAAGCUGAUUUGUUUUCUAAAAUAAAUCUAAUCUAUGUUUGUGUGUUUGCUUCUUUACACCACUGUUAACAGUUUAGGCUGUUAGAUUGUUCCAGAUAAGACAAGUACAAGAUUCUUCAGAGCCGUUCUACCACGAGCCUGACAGGAAGAGCUCCAACAGCUACUGAAUGUUCCUGAGGUCCCCUCAAGGCUACAGGAGGAGCCCUAUGAGGAUGAGCCGGUCCACCUGAUGGCAGCCAGUCGCUGUGGUUCAAAGCCAACACCGACUACAUGGACUUCUACUGGACCACACGGAGGCCUUCAAACCGGACCAACAAGUUCAGCGACUCCCCGACUCGUGGGUCUGAGGACGCCACCGAGCCUCGGCCCAGCCGGCCUCCUGUCUGUGGAUGUUUGAGUGCUGAGAGGUUUGUGGAUGGAUGUGAACGUUCUGUGUUGAAACAGCAGCUUUUGACUCACCAACACCGGGAAAAACCAAGAGCUCCUUUAUUUGUGACUUCCACUAAAAAACUGAUGAAAAUAAGUUUGCCAGGGUUCUGACUGAUAACAGAUUAUUAAAUAAUGAAAGUAAUCAUUUAAAUAUUCCUUUAAACGAUCAGUUUAGGUCUACAUUUCCUUUACACUGGCUUCUUGGUAUAUGUACAAGUAUUUUGGGUGGAAUAUACCAUUAAGCCCAAUGUUCAAGGGUUCUUCUGGGAAUAUACCAUUAAACCAACCUUUUAGGUAAAUGUUCCAGGAUGUUGGGUAGAAUAUACCAUCAGAUCAACCUUUUAGGUCUACAUUGGAAGAUUUUAGAGUAGAAUAUUACUCCAACCCAUCCUUUAGGUCUACAUUUAAGGUGGAAUACUCCUUUACACCAAGAUUUUAUGGUCUACAUUGAAGGAUUUUAGGUGGAAUAUUCCUUUGAACGAACUUUUUAAGUUUAUGUUCAAGGAUGUUGGGUGGAAUAUACCAUCAGACCAACCUCCAAGGUGUACAGUAGGGAAUUUUAGGUAGAAUAUACUGUUAAACUCACCUUUUAGGUCUACAUUGGAGGAUUUUAGGUGGAAUUUUCUUCCAAGCCGUCUUUUAGUCUACAUGUAAGGAUGUUUAGGAUGGUAUAUUCUUCCAAACCAACUUCUCAGGUCUACAUUUCAGGUGGAAUAUUCCUCCAUACUAACUUUUUUGGUCUACAUUGAAGGAUUUUUUGUUUAACCAGCCCCUCAGGUCUCUUUGAGGAUUUCGGAUGGAAUACUCGGUUAAAGCAACAUUUUAGGUGCAUGUCCAAGGAUUUUUGGUGGAAUGUUCCUUUAAGGUGGAUGUUUGAGGACCUUGUAGGUGGAAUACUUCCUGAAACCAACCUUUAGGUUAACAUUCAAAGAUUUAAAGUGGAAUAUUCCUUUAAACCAACCUAAAUUUCAUGUUUUGAUCAUUAUCAAGUGAGAAACCUCAAUCCAGACUCCUCAUAAUGAUGUUUGAGAUUUAUGCUGCUGUUAUUUGUUUAGUCCAGACUAAAUGACAGAAAUCCACAACUGUAAUUUUAUUUCAGGACUCGGUAAUUAAAUGUCAAAACAAUCCAUGUCACUCUAAAAACUCAACAGCUGUACAAACUCUAAGAUUAAACUCUCCACAAGGAUCCAAAAUAAGAUGGACUUCUACAUGAGAGUUUUAAUUAUUCUUCAUCUACUUCCUGAAAAGUUUGGUCAAUAAAAAAGACAAAAACUAAUAUUUUCAGCUGAACUAAAGACAGACUUUGUGAUUUUUCUGCUCACAUGUUGUGUUGUCAACUUACUCUUUCAAAUAAAUAUCCUCCUAACCCCCUGGAAA